AGUUCGAUUAUCGUUUUCGGGUUUCGAUACGUUACAGGAGAUCGACAGAAGAAGCCGUUAUAUGAGGUGGAGUGCUUCUACUGUCACAAGAAAGGGCAUAUCAAGCAUAAUUUUCGAAAACUUCAGGAUGAUCUGAAGGAUUAGUUAAAACGAUAGACGGAGAAAACUGUUGUAAGCGAGGACGAGACGGUAUCAGCGACGGCACAGGCAGCGAAGUCGGAGAUGAUCGAUUCUGAUGUGUUGUAUGCGGCGACCGGAGGUACUAAAAUUUCGGAUGAUACAU
rnacentral:lncRNA from 1 species